rnacentral:rRNA from 1 species
AUGCUUACUUCCUUCGGUGAAUCAACCGGCCUCUCCACAAACUGCACAAAGAGUAUUGUAGCCCCUAUCAGAUGUGCCAACAUGGACCUGGAUGACGUUCUCCAAUCCUUCCCGGCAUGCUGCUCCUCCUUCCCUAUUCGCUACCUUGGCCUCCCACUCGCAAUCAAAAGAUUAAGGAUGAUACAUCUCCAAAUGCUGGAAGACAAAGCUGCAGGCAAAUUGGCGCCUUGGAAAGGCAAGCAUGUUGCUAUCUCCGGU